rnacentral:rRNA from 1 species
CCUAUGGGUGGCAGCAGUAGGGAAUCUUCCACAAUGGGCGAAAGCCUGAUGGAGCAACGCCGCGUGGGUGAAGAAGGUCUUCGGAUCGUAAAACCUUGUUGUUAGAGAAGAAAGUGCGUGAGAGUAACUGUUCACGUUUCGACGGUAUCUAACCAGAAAGCCACGGCUAACUACGUGCAAGCAGCUGCGGUAAUACGUAGGUGGCAAGCGUUAUCCGGUUUUAUUGGGCGUAAAGGGAACGCAGGCGGUCUUUUAAGUGUGAUGUGAAAGCGUUCGGCUAAAACGGAAUAGUGCAGUGGAAACUGGGAGACUUGAGUGCAGAAGAGGAGAGGGGAACUCCAGGUGUAGCGGGGAAAUGCUUAGAUAUAUGGAAGAACACCGAUGGCGAAGGCGGCUCUCUGGUCUGCAACUGACGCUGAGGUUCGAAAGCGUGGGUAGCAAACAGGAUUAGAUACCCUAGUAGUC